UUUAAAAUUACAAAAUUCAUUAAAAAAAUAUUAAAAAAUCAAUAUUUCUCCAUUCUUUGAACAACCUUUGUAGACCUUACCCCAAGGAACCUUUGCUAUGAAUUUCAAUAGAUUCUGGCUGACGAUUUUGGACAAGAAGUUUGUAGAAGUCUGGACAUAGAUGGCCUUGGGUUUGACCUCUCAAGGUCACUCAAGGUCAAAGGUAAUGGCACCAAAUAAAAGCCCAAAUGUCACUUCCUAUCUAUUGCCAGUAGUAAUUAUAUCAAUAUCUUCAACUGUUUUCAAGCAAAAAACAAAUUUGAUG